rnacentral:tRNA from 1 species
CCGCCGCCAUGGUCCGGCACGCCCUGGCGCUGGAGACGCCGGAGGGACCGGUGGGCAAGCUGGUACGCCGGGUGCUGCCGGUGGCGGCGGA